GGGUUGUGAGGUUAAGCGACUAAGCGUACACGGUGGAUGCCCUGGCAGUCAGAGGCGAUGAAGGACGUGCUAAUCUGCGAUAAGCGUCGGUAAGGUGAUAUGAACCGUUAUAACCGGCGAUUUCCGAAUGGGGAAACCCAGUGUGAUUCGUCACACUAUCAUUAACUGA
rnacentral:rRNA from 2 species